rnacentral:rRNA from 1 species
ACGGGAGGCAGCAGUGGGGAAUAUUGGGCAAUGGGCGAAAGCCUGACCCAGCGACGCCGCGUGAGGGAAGAAGCUCUUCGGAUUGUAAACCUUAGUCAACAGGGACGAAGCAAGUGACGGUACCUGUGGAGGAAGCCACGGCUAACUACGUGCCAGCAGCCGCGGUAAUACGUAGGUGGCGAGCGUUAUCCGGAUUUACUGGGUGUAAAGGGUGGGUAGGCGGGCCUGCAAGUCAGAUGUGAAAACUAUGGGCCUAACCCAUAGCCUGCAUUUGAAACUGUGGGUCUUGAGAGUGGUAGAGGUAAAUGGAAUUCCCGGUGUAGCAGUGAAAUGCGUAGAUAUCGGGAGGAACACCAGUUGCGAAGGCGAUUUACUGGACCACAACUGACGCUGAGACACGAAAGCGUGGGGAGCAAACAGGAUUAGAUACCCUGGUA